GGUUGUGGCUUAGUGGUAGAGGGCUUGCCUUGCAUGGGUGAGGUACUGAGUUUGAUCCUCAGCACCA
rnacentral:tRNA from 1 species